rnacentral:rRNA from 1 species
GCAACGGAUCUCUUGGCUCUCGCAUCGAUGAAGAACGCAGCGAAAUGCGAUAAGUAAUGUGAAUUGCAGAAUUCAGUGAAUCAUCGAAUCUUUGAACGCACCUUGCGCCUCUUGGUAUUCCGAGAGGCAUGCCUGUUUGAGUGUCAUUAAAUUCUCAACUUCAAAAGCUUUUGUCUUUUUGAAGCUUGGAUGGUGAAGGCUUGCUGGCGUUUUAAAUGUCUCAGCUCCUUUGAAAAGUAUUAGUGGACCCGUUUGUGUUCAUUCCUUAGUGUGAUAAUUAUCUACGCUGUGGUCUUUGAAUGCAUGCUCAUUAAAAUCUUUCGAGCUGUUGUUUUUACUACAGUCUCGGUGUGGAGAGUUGCAUGAAUUUGCUCUUUCUGUCUCUUGAGUCAGGAUUGUCUGCUUCAAACCGUCUACACAUUGUAGACAAUUUUGAACCAUUUGACCUCAAUCAGGUAGGACUACCCGCUGAACUUAAGCAUAUCAUAAGCGGAGGA